rnacentral:misc_RNA from 1 species
UUCUAAGAAGAUAAUCCUUUGAAAAAUAUACUUUGGAUGAUAAAAACGGAUGAUUCGAUAGGAACAAGUGUAACCCAUUUCUCGGGAAAAGAUUGGAUAAAACGAUUUAACGAAGGUA